rnacentral:rRNA from 1 species
AUGACUUGGGAGCACUACUUGGUUGCCCUGGCCCCGCCGGGGGAGAGGAUCGGCGGUGUCGAGUGCCACACGGUGGCUGAUGUUGUGAUCCAGAUGUUUUGGACCUUUUACAGGUGUGCUGAGGGACAGGAGGAGGCCGCGGCUCGGGUUAUCGAAGCCGAGUGCAAGCGGCUACUUCAAAACUGGCGGAACAGGGCUCGGACGCAGGCUACUCGAGACUACUUCGCCUCGAUUGGUAUUAGGAUGUCCAAGUCAAAGUGUCGCACAAAGUAUCUGAGUAAGGAGAAGUACAUGAAGGUGCCCCCGAGAUGGUGUGCGGAUAGGCUGGAUUGUUGGGAGGCGUUGGUGGAUUAG